rnacentral:rRNA from 6 species
AGAGUUUGAUCCUGGCUCAGGACGAACGCUGGCGGCGUGCCUAAUACAUGCAAGUAGAACGCUGAAGACUUUAGCUUGCUAGAGUUGGAAGAGUUGCGAACGGGUGAGUAACGCGUAGGUAACCUGCCUACUAGCGGGGGAUAACUAUUGGAAACGAUAGCUAAUACCGCAUAACAGUGUUUAACACAUGUUAGAUGCUUGAAAGAUGCAAUUGCAUCACUAGUAGAUGGACCUGCGUUGUAUUAGCUAGUUGGUGGGGUAACGGCCUACCAAGGCGACGAUACAUAGCCGACCUGAGAGGGUGAUCGGCCACACUGGGACUGAGACACGGCCCAGACUCCUACGGGAGGCAGCAGUAGGGAAUCUUCGGCAAUGGGGGCAACCCUGACCGAGCAACGCCGCGUGAGUGAAGAAGGUUUUCGGAUCGUAAAGCUCUGUUGUAAGAGAAGAACGUGUGUGAGAGUGGAAAGUUCACACAGUGACGGUAACUUACCAGAAAGGGACGGCUAACUACGUGCCAGCAGCCGCGGUAAU